rnacentral:rRNA from 1 species
UACGGGGGGUGCGAGCGUUGUCCGGAAUUACUGGGCGUAAAGCGCGUGUAGGCUGCUUCGCAAGUCGGAUGUGAAAGCCCUGGGCUCAACCCAGGAAGUGCAUUCGAAACUGCAGAGCUGGAGUCCUGGAGAGGAAGGCGGAAUUCUCGGUGUAGAGGUGAAAUUCGUAGAUAUCGAGAGGAACACCGGUGGCGAAGGCGGCCUUCUGGACAGUGACUGACGCUGAGACGCGAAAGCGUGGGGAGCAAACAGG